GCGACCCCAGGUCAAGGCGGG
rnacentral:rRNA from 1 species